rnacentral:rRNA from 1 species
AUUGAACGCUGGCGGCAGGCCUAACACAUGCAAGUCGAACGAGGGGCGGACGGGUGAGUAAUGUCUGGGAAACUGCCUGAUGGAGGGGGAUAACUACUGGAAACGGUAGCUAAUACCGCAUAACAUCAGCUGUGCCCAGAUGGGCGUAUCUUGGUGGUGGGGUAACGGCUCACCAAGGCGACGCUCCCUAGCUGGUCUGAGAGGAUGACCAGCCACACUGGAACGUAGACACGGUCCAGACUCCUACGUGAGGCAGCAGUGGGGAAUAUUGCACAAUGGGCGAAAGCCUGAUGCAGCCAUGCCGCGUGUAUGAAGAAGGCCUUCGGGUUGUAAAGUACUUUCAGCGGGGAGGCGUUACCCGCAGAAGAAGCACCGGCUAACUCCGUGCCAGCAGCCGCGGUAAUUC